rnacentral:lncRNA from 1 species
UUAUUGAGGCUAGGGUUUCACCCUUGAGCCAUUUCAGUUGAAGAUUGGGGCUUAAUUUGAUCUAUGCAUUGCCAGAUUCAUCUGUCAGAUGAAAAGUCAACUGUGGUCAACUGUGCAUGAUCUGAUGGAUUUGGAGGUGGAAAUGAGUUGGAUACACUUCAUUCAUGUUGGAACAAGUGUUAUUUGACAUCUCAAAGCUUAAAAAUGAAGAAAAUCAAGUCAGGACAAAAACUGCCAAAAAUAGAAAGUGACUUG